rnacentral:lncRNA from 1 species
AUGGGGCAGCCAGAGGUGGCUUUGCAAUCCUGCCCACAGAGCAGGCAGCCCCUGGCUGGGUGUGACACACUGACCCAGUUCCAGCUGCCAGCACAUCUGGGAGCCCUGAGCAGGGGCAGGGGCAGCUCCCAGCCUGGCACAGCCCCAAAGCCUGGCUCACCUGGCACAGGUACACCAAAACACCUGGCACAGGGACCCCCAGAUCACCUGGCACAGGGACCCCAAAAUCACCUGGCACAGGUACACCAAAAUCACCUGGCACAGGAACCCCCAGAUCUCACCUGGCACAGGGACCCCAAAAUCCACCCUCACCUGGCACAGGAACCCCCACAUCUCACCUGGCACAGGGACCCCCAGAUCACCUGGCACAGGGACCCCAAAAUCACCUGGCACAGGGACCCCAAAAUCACCUGGCACAGGUACACCAAAAUCACCUGGCACAGGAACCCCCAGAUCUCACCUGGCACAGGGACCCCAAAAUCACCUGGCACAGGUACACCAAAAUCACCUGGCACAGGAACCCCCAGAUCUCACCUGGCACAGGGACCCCAAAAUCACCUGGCACAGGUACACCAAAAUCACCUGGCACAGGAACCCCCAGAUCUCACCUGGCACAGGGACCCCAAAAUCACCUGGCACAGGUACACCAAAAUCACCUGGCACAGGAACCCCCAGAUCUCACCUGGCACAGGGACCCCAAAAUCACCUGGCACAGGUACACCAAAAUCACCUGGCACAGGAACCCCCAGAUCUCACCUGGCACAGGGACCCCAAAAUCACCUGGCACAGGUACACCAAAAUCACCUGGCACAGGAACCCCCAGAUCUCACCUGGCACAGGGACCCCAAAAUCACCUGGCACAGGUACACCAAAAUCACCUGGCACAGGAACCCCCAGAUCUCACCUGGCACAGGGACCCCAAAAUCACCUGGCACAGGUACACCAAAAUCACCUGGCACAGGAACCCCCAGAUCUCACCUGGCACAGGGACCCCAAAAUCACCUGGCACAGGUACACCAAAAUCACCUGGCACAGGAACCCCCAGAUCUCACCUGGCACAGGGACCCCAAAAUCACCUGGCACAGGUACACCAAAAUCACCUGGCACAGGAACCCCCAGAUCUCACCUGGCACAGGGACCCCAAAAUCACCUGGCACAGGUACACCAAAAUCACCUGGCACAGGAACCCCCAGAUCUCACCUGGCACAGGGACCCCAAAAUCACCUGGCACAGGUACACCAAAAUCACCUGGCACAGGAACCCCCAGAUCUCACCUGGCACAGGGACCCCAAAAUCACCUGGCACAGGUACACCAAAAUCACCUGGCACAGGAACCCCCAGAUCUCACCUGGCACAGGGACCCCAAAAUCACCUGGCACAGGUACACCAAAUCUCCCAUUUCACCUCUCAGCCAAACCUGACUCCAGGGGUGCCAGUUUAGAACCAGAACCAAACCCCCAGCUCCAGGUGAGACAACCUGAACCUCUCCCAGCUCUGGUUCAUCUCUCUGGAAGCUGCAGCUCCAAACUCAACACCACCUCCCAGGCAGAGCUGUGCUGCUUGUUCUGCCAACAGAACUCAGAUCAAAUACGGGAAACUUCACAAAAACUUAUCUGCACCAAAAGCUCACCAAAGGCCUCUCCACCACCCUGGGGUGAUCCAAAAUCAUGAAGGAAUAUCAGAAAACCUUAGAAAUCACCUUACCCCCCCACAACAUCCAACAUUCAUGUCUUGGCCACACUCAAAAGCAGGAUUUCGAACAGAUUUAGGAACAAAAGCACAAUCCUGUCUUCUCUAAGGAUCUGGGAACUGUGGCUUGUUCAUCAGCCUUAUGAAACAGCAAAGAAAUACAAAAAUAAUGAAGCUUCAGGUCACUCCUGCCAUGAGUGAGGCACACUCAGAGCAAGGAAGGGCAGGAUACAAAUGUGUUCUGUGUAAUCCAGCAAGAGCAUGACUGAGGAACUGCCUCAUCUAUAAAGGAGAGUGAUUUACCCACUGAAAAUAUCAAUGAAAAUAAAUACCUUAAUCAAGCCAUGGUAGCAAAUGACUCUAUCCCUAAGUUGUGACAAGACAGAACAUAUUUGGUCCAGAACAAAGGUUAAAAAGAGAAAAUCCUAUUAAGCAAUGAUCAGUUUCGUGGAGAACACUGAAAAUGGAAAAACACCUUUCUCACCCACAGUGAUAAGACAUGAAUAUCCCCCAACUGUGGGAAAUGCCAGGAUUUCUGCCAACAUCCUGCAGCUCUCCAGGAUUCCAGUUGCUACUGCAAAUGGACAAACCCUUCUGAAUUCUUUAGCAGAUGACAAAUAAUUAUUUCCAGCAGCGGCUUGUGCAGCCCCCGAGGAUCCCGUGGCAUCCAAAGCCAUUAACAAAUCCCUCACUUGUGCUGACAUAUUCAGCUGUCAUCCAUCUUUGCUAUUAACAGAUGCUCCAGUGAAGGAAGGUGGAGCAGCACAGGCUCUGCAAACCCUUCCCCACAGCACACCCUGAGCACUGAGUCAGUCAGGAGGGGGGAAAUCGCCGGUCCCGAGUCCUCCUGGCUGCCCAGAAUUAAUUAGGGAACACCAAGUUUCUCCCGACUGCCAGGAGCUUUCCCUCCCUGCUGCCUGGGUGGCUCAGCCUGCAGCUCACAGUGAUUAUUUCUGCUCUCAGGUGGAUUCCCUGCUCUCAAAAAUGAGAUUUAAACUUGCAAGGUGAAGCAGAGCCUCCUGAUGCUCUGUUGGUCGCUGUAGUGCAGCGGGACAUCCCAGGAGGAAAUAAAACAUAACCCUGCACAAAUGUAAAAUCCCCACAGAGCUCCCGUGCCCUUCCAGCAGGGCAGGCCAAACUGGUUUGCCCAACUCACAUCAAAUUUCUUGUGACCUUUUAUAUGGAAAUAGCUCAAAGUUUUCAGGAGCUGUCUGCAUUUUAGGUGACCUAAAACACCUGCAGAGCAGUGGAACUCUCACUUGAUCUGCUAAAUCCUUCCCUGGUGCAUGAGCUGAGGUGAGGUGAGAGCAGCUCUGUCCCCACAGCUCAGGUACCAGGUGAGCACUUCCCACGGACCAACAGCCAGGAUUAGCUAAAGGAAACGGGUGGGACUCACCCUGGAAGUGAAUUUUGCUGUUCACUUCCCAUCAAAAGCUGGUGAAACCUCUCACGUGUGUGUUUUAUAAAUAAAACCCCACAUUUACAUCCUAAAGCCAAACCAGGAAUGUGACACCUGUGUACUUUGGGUCUUUACCAAAGUGUUCUGACUUACUGGCAAAACUGACUCCUUCUACAUAUUUUAUAUAUAUAUAAACAUAUUUUAUGUCCUUUUGUAUAUAUAUUACAUAUUUUAUACAUAAUGUUUAUAUAUAGGACCAUAUAUAUUCUGGUCCCACUGGACCAGUCAAGGGAAAUUAUCUCUUUCCAAUCAGCAUAAAAAGGAGAAAGAACAAUCCACCACAGAGUGUUAGACAGAAUUUUCCUGUCAGAAGAUGCUCCAGUGAAUGUUUCAUCCAUGAACAUCAGCUCUGGAACAAGGAAUCACUUCAUAUCCACCUACAUCUCCUCUGCACGGGGGGAGCUCCUGCCUCUCACGGGGCAGGAACAGCCGCGGAUUCCUCCAGGCACUGCAGGAAUUGCUCAACCUGCCCCAAUUUCCCUCUCUUGUUCCAGGGAAACCCAAGAACUGGGCACUUGCUGUCACAGAGCAAGGACUGGGCGCUCAAUGUAAUCACUGAAACGUGACUCUGCCGUUCUGGGCUCCCCUGACUCUGGGAUUCCAGUGAAACGGGAAAAGGAAGCUGAGGAGGAAAAAGCAAAAGCUCCCAGGAAAGAAGCAACGCUGAGGAUGAGACACUAUCAGUUUCAGAUGGACAGAGCUCCUCAUAAUUAACUUUUUGGUUAAAUAAAACUUAGUUUUGGGAGGGUCAAGCCUGACAUACCAGAUUUACACUGGCCCAGCACAAACGAGAGCAAAAAACCAGUGCCCCAGGCCAGAGCAGCAGCUUCAUUAAAAUACAGAGAAUGUAUUUUACAGACGAAACUGAACCUUGUUGGUGACUUUCAUUCUUCAGUACAAAGUGGUCCAGAGCAGCCUCUCUGCAACACCCCUGGCUCCUAAACAGCUUCAAAACCAAGAGCUCCAGAAAAGCCAAGAACCACCUUUGGGUGAAUGUCCUGAGCUGGGAGGGACCCACAGGACCAUCGAGUCCAGCCCCAGCUCCUGCACAGACACCCCAAACCCACCCUGAGCAUCCCUGAGAGCUCCUGGAGCCCUGGCGGGGGUGGGAAUGUGCCAUUCCCGGGGAGCCUGGGCAGUGCUGGGGGAAGAACCUUUCCCCGAGCUCCGUCCCAGCCCUGGCACAGCUCCAGCCCUAUCCCAGCCCUGACACAGCUCCAGCCCUUGCUGGCUGCCCCUCGCAGACCCUCAGGAAGGGUUUCCUGGAGAGCUCCCCUUGCACCUCAUCCCAAAUCCCGCAUCCCACAUCCCAAAUCCCGCAUCCCACAUCCCAAAUCCCGCAUCCCACCCCCUCCGCUCCUGCGAGCAGCAGCCCGGGCAGGCACCAAAGCGUGUCACACACACAAGCCCCGCAGCCCUCGGGACAGGGGGUCCCGCUCACACCAACACCACACACACAACACAGGAAUUGAAAGGAAAACAGAAGAAAAGAGCUUCGGUUUGGCCCGAGACUUUGACAGUCUCCGGAGGAGGAAAGCCGAGAUAAAAGAGUCAAACCCCACGGCGCUGUCACGCUCCUGCCCCCGGAUUUCCCAGCACGGAGCCAGCGGCAGCUCCUGCUCGCCCCCAGCCCCGGGCCCCGAGCCGAGCCCCCGGAAUCGCCUCUAUCCGCGACCGCGGCCCGGAUCCCGCGGUGAAUCCCGGGGGUCCCACCCACACCGAGCCGGGGCUGCGGGCCCGUCCGGCCCGGCCUGCGGGGGAGGGGGGGGGGGGGGGGGGGGGGGGGGGGGGGGGGGGGG